UAAAACUGUUCCCAGAAAAUCAGCAUCUUUGGCAGUCUUUCAAUCUAGCAGAGAUGAAGCACAAUUCGGCUGACACAGAUUGCUUCAAGUUAAACUUCUAAGGUGGGAAGCUCAAAAAUCUAUGCCCAGAGAGGGUACACAUUGUGAGAACAAAAAGUACUUGUCUUGUCUCUUUAUAUUACCCCUGAAGUUUGGCAGUAGAAUUUUUGAUCAUCUUAUAAUUUAUCUUUUUCUCUCUCUAGUUUUAAGACUGGUAAGGAAAAGUCCAUGCCAUCCUUCACCAUCUAUUUCUGUCCUCUGCCUUUCUCCUCAGCUCUGCAUAUCCUAUUGCUCCAACAUCUUUGUAGAUUUGGAUUAUGUAGGAAUUGUAAGAUCUUCCUCUGCCUUUAUUCUCCCUUGCAAUUCUUCUUUCUAAGAUCGUUACUAUGAGAUUAUCAUGUCUUAGUAUAUAUCCAAGCCAUUUAUUCUUUUCUUUCUUACCAUCUUAUAUGGUAAAUUUUCCUGUGUCAUUAUUUUUGCAUUUCAUUUCAGAUAUUCUCAUUUUAUUGCAGUAUGUUGUAGCCAUUUACAUACAUACUUUUACAGUCUUCAACAUUAUCUAAUUCUUAUUGGUUAAUGUCUAGAUUAUUUGGAUAAUGAUGAAAAACGAGAAAAAUUACUUUCUAUUUCUGUCUUUAUCUAUUAUAUUUGAUAAUGUUGACAUCUCCCAGUUAAUCUCAACAUUAACUGGAUUU
rnacentral:lncRNA from 1 species